AUUGAACGCUGGCGGAAUGCUUUACACAUGCAAGUCGAACGGCAGCACGGGGGCAACCCUGGUGGCGAGUGGCGAACGGGUGAGUAAUACAUCGGAACGUGCCCGGUCGUGGGGGAUAACGUAGCGAAAGUUACGCUAAUACCGCAUACGAUCUGAGGAUGAAAGCGGGGGACCUUCGGGCCUCGCGCGAUCGGAGCGGCCGAUGUCAGAUUAGGUAGUUGGUGGGGUAAAGGCCUACCAAGCCGACGAUCUGUAGCUGGUCUGAGAGGACGACCAGCCACACUGGGACUGGGACACGGCCCAGGCUCCUACGGGAGGCAGCAGUGGGGAAUUUUGGACAAUGGGCGCAAGCCUGAUCCAGCCAUUCCGCGUGCAGGACGAAGGCCUUCGGGUUGUAAACUGCUUUUGUAUGGAACGAAAAGGCUCUGGCUAAUACCUGGGGCUCAUGACGGUACCGUAAGAAUAAGCACCGGCUAACUACGUG
rnacentral:rRNA from 1 species